rnacentral:rRNA from 1 species
GAUGAACGCUGGCGGCGUGCCUAAUACAUGCAAGUCGAGCGAACGGACGAGAAGCUUGCUUCUCUUAUGUUAGCGGCGGACGGGUGAGUAACACGUGGAUACCCUACCUAUAAGACUGGGAUAACUUCGGGAAACCGGAUCUAAUACCGGAUAAUAUUUUGAACCGCAUGGUUCAAAAGUGAUAGACGGUCUUGCUGUCACUUAUAGAUGGAUCCGCGCUGCAUUAGCUAGUUGGUAAGGUAACGGCUUACCAAGGCAACGAUGCAUAGCCGACCUGAGAGGGUGAUCGGCCACACUGGAACUGAGACACGGUCCAGACUCCUACGGGAGGCAGCAGUAGGGAAUCUUCCGCAAUGGGCGAAAGCCUGACGGAGCAACGCCGCGUGAGUGAUGAAGGUCUUCGGAUCGUAAAACUCUGUUAUUAGGGAAGAACAUAUGUGUAAGUAACUGUGCACAUCUUGACGGUACCUAAUGAGAAAGCCACGGCUAACUACGUG